AUACUUUCUAUGUAUCUUGGUAUCCACAUAACCUGUAAUAAGUUUUUGUUCGGUGCAGAAACAACCAUGGAAAACAUUAUAUGGAGAAUAUCUCAUUUUGCAUACGAGUAUUUCGCUGAAAAAGAAAAUUCUGUGAAAUCAACAUUUUGGGCUACAUAGUCGUUGUUAAAGUCAACUCUGUUAAUAUAAAACAGCAUAGAUAUAAUCUAAGUACACCAAGUUCUCAAGCAAAAAAUAUAGGUUAUGUUUCCCAGAAAUCAAAUAUAUUUACAAGAGAAAACUUACGAAAAUUUUUAACAGAGGCCCGUGAUUAAUGUACCUAAUGUCAAAGGUAUAUUUUUUAUUCGAAGUUGUAGGAGUAUGCGGAAAGGAAGAAUUUGAACAAUUUUCUUGUAUCUACAUAACCUAUAAUAAGCUUUUAUUAUUAUUACAGAACAGAUUAUUAGCUUACAUGCCCAUUUUAAAUGAAAGUAUGAAGCAUACCUCUUAUUUUUCGGCACUUUUAAUAUUUUUGCUUGCAGAAAGAUCUGCAGCAAUUGCAAAAUAGAGAUGGAUAGCAAUAAUAACAAGCAGUUUACAUGCAUUCGACCGAACUUGCAAAAACUGGCAGAUAAUAUAUCAAAUUUAUUACCUAAAAACUCAGCCACAGUUUAUGAAAAGCGGUAUGAAUUUUUUUUUUUUUUGCGCAGAAACAACCAUGCAAAAUAUAUGGAGAACACCUCAUUGCAUACGAGUAUUUCGCUGAAAAAGCAAAUUCUGUGAAAUCUUUAACACUUUGGGCUGCAUAGUCGUAGUUAAAGUCAACUCUGUUAAUAAAAAACAGCAUAGAUAUAUCUAAGUACACCAAGUUUUCAAGCAAAAAAUAUAGGUUACAUUGCCAAGAAAUCAAAUAUAUUUACAAGAGAAGACUUACCAAAAUUUUUAACAGAAGCCCGUGAUUAAAUGUACAUGAUGUUAAAGGUUUAUUUUUUAUUAGAAGUUGUAGGAGCAUGUGGAAUGGAUAAAUUGAAAAAUAAUGACGGCAUUCAAGACAAAAACGAUACGCUAAUAAUUAAAAUUCCAACGUCUAAAACUGGCAAAGCACGAGAAUUUACAAAUAUGUGUAAAAAUAUUUAUCCAAUUGAAAUAUAGUAAAAAUACCUAAUUUUAAGACCGCACCAUACACCAGACAAAUCAUUAUUUAUACAUUACAUUUGGAUAGUGAAUGCAGCAGCUGCUGCAUUGUACAAAUAUACCUGCAAACACACUGUAACAAAUUAUGCAGACACCUCUUUUGACUAAAAGAUAUAUAUUUAACUUUAUCCAUACGUUGUCAACUUUGUUAAUAAUUGCAAUCUCUAACUUCAUAAGAAAUAUGAAUAAUCUACUUUGGUGUUUUAUAGUAGUAUUAAAUGUUCAUAGAAUAUAAUUGCACUUACUACGAAGUAAGCUUUCCUAGUUUUAAGUUGUUUUCUUUUCUCUUUGAUUAUCUUAAUUUCUUCAGCCUCUAUGUGGCUGUUUUAAUUCCAAAAAAUUGUUUCUGAAUAAACUGAUUCAUACCA